UACGGAGGGGCUAGCGUUGUUCGGAAUUACUGGGCGUAAAGCGCACGUAGGCGGCUUUGUAAGUUAGAGGUGAAAGCCCGGGGCUCAACUCCGGAAUUGCCUUUAAGACUGCAUCGCUAGAACGUCGGAGAGGUAAGUGGAAUUCCGAGUGUAGAGGUGAAAUUCGUAGAUAUUCGGAAGAACACCAGUGGCGAAGGCGACUUACUGGACGACUGUUGACGCUGAGGUGCGAAAGCGUGGGGAGCAAACAGG
rnacentral:rRNA from 1 species